rnacentral:lncRNA from 1 species
GAAGACCGGCCCAACGUGGAUCUGGCAAGCAGGUUGCUGUGACUCGCACCUGAACGCCGCCCAGGAUGUGAAAAUUCCCCAGCAGCGAUGGUGUUGGUGCCAACGGGUGAGGGCUCCAGGAGGAAAACCUUGGCUGGCUCUCCUUGGGGACUCGUUCUAACUUUCAAGUCACUCUCUAGGUCAGGAGAGAAGCAUGGAGAGGAGGAGCGGGUCUCUCUGGGAGAAAAACUAGAGCGGGCCAAACGCCGGCUGCUUCGAUGACUGGUUGAGUGGGUCUGGGCAAGGCGAGCAGUGCCCAUUUCCCAGGGCUGCGGCAAAAGACCGAGGCUCCCGGCAGCCGACGCCCCCGCUGCCGGGAAGGACAGACCUCCAGUGGCGGAGGGGGAAUUCACUAUAGCCGUUCUGGUCGCGCCGGUCAGCUUCGGGCUGUCACCGGGGUCCCUCCGCCACGGUGGCCCGCCCCGCCAGCACGCAGCCCCCACCCGGCUCCGCGUCCCGGGACCCCGAACUCACCUUUCCCGGGGAAUCAGCGCUCCUUGCCCAUAGUCCGCAGCCCAGAGUCGGGGCUGCUCGGCGCUCCGUCCCGGGGGCCGGGGCCGGGCCGGGGGCGUGGGAGCCGCUCACCGCCGCCUCCCAGCGCAGCCGCCAGAGCUGCCGCCGCCGCCUCCCUCCAUGGCUGCGGCGCCGCCACCUGACAACGGAAGUGACGCAUAGGCUCUCGGCCCCGCCUCCCGCCCCCUCGCCUGAGUUUGGGGUUGGUGCGCCAUCUUCAGGAUGGGCGGAAGCCUUCAGGCAGGAAGCCCAGAUAAGAUCGCCAAUUGGUUCUGGGUGGAGUCUGGGUCGAAAUCUGUAAAGUGAUUGGACAGUCAGGGGGCGGUACUUACCGCUAAUCUACAUCUACAGUGGGACUGGGACAGAGGCGCCGGUCCGCCUUGGCUCUGCAGAACCUCACCGACUUAUGCUCUCCUUGCUGGGGUUGGGGACGUCUCUAAGUGGUUGCAAAACCCGCCAACUGCACUGCAUUCUUUAGAAAAGUAGUCUUUCUUUGCUCCCCAUUUCUCGGCUUCUGGAAAUUUGUGUGGGAAAGUGCUGAAGUUGGGUACAAGAGAAGUCAAGAAUUGGCUGUCG